UACGUAGGGUGCAAGCGUUGUCCGGAAUUAUUGGGCGUAAAGAGCUCGUAGGCGGUCUGUCGCGUCGGAUGUGAAAAUCCAGGGCUUAACCCUGGGCCUGCAUUCGAUACGGGCAGACUAGAGUUCGGUAGGGGAGACUGGAAUUCCUGGUGUAGCGGUGAAAUGCGCAGAUAUCGGGAGGAACACCAAUGGCGAAGGCAGCUCGCUGGGACGUGACUGACGCUGAGACGCGAAAGCGUGGGGAGCAAACAGG
rnacentral:rRNA from 1 species